ACACUUACCUGGCAAAGGAGAUACCAUGAUCAUGAAGGUGGUUUUCCCAAGGCAUGGCUUAUCCAUUGCACUCCGGAUGUGCUGACCCCCCGCAAUUUCCCCAACGGUGAGAAACUCGACUGCAUAAUCUGUAGUAGUGGAGGACUGCGUUCACUCUCUCCCCUA
rnacentral:snRNA from 1 species